rnacentral:piRNA from 1 species
UGAGUUAGGGUCUUUCGAGUUUUGUAU